rnacentral:misc_RNA from 1 species
CUGAGUUCUGGGUCUCCAAGGCCCUUACUCCCACCCUUUGUGUACCAACUAUUUUCUUCAGUUGCCUUGGCGGGUCUGCCCCCUAAACUCUCACGAGAAUAGGCGGGCGCCGCCAGGGGGACUCCCCUUAAACUCUUAUGAAUUGGGUUGUCUGAGAACAAAAACAAAUAAAUUA